UGUACUAAGUUUGAAAAGUAUCAUUCAAUUUGUACAAUGAAGUUUAAGAUGUAUAAAGAAAUGUUAUACACAUUUUUUUCCAGACAAAACCCCCCAUAACGAUGACAAUGUACUCGGACAAGAUUCUAAGACCUAUUUGAAACAAAUAUGAAUAGAGGACUUCUUAGUAGAAGAAGUAUAGCCAAACUUGCAGAAAACAACAACCGGAUGUGCAUCACUAAAGAAAAGAAACAGGAUUUCUCCAAAUGUAGAAAUGCAGACAGCUCUUCACCAUCAACUGUGAU